rnacentral:rRNA from 1 species
GUGGGGAAUUUUGGACAAUGGGCGAAAGCCUGAUCCAGCCAUGCCGCGUGUGUGAAGAAGGUCUUCGGAUUGUAAAGCACUUUAAGUUGGGAGGAAGGGCAGUAAGUUAAUACCUUGCUGUUUUGACGUUACCGACAGAAUAAGCACCGGCUAACUUCGUGCCAGCAGCCGCGGUAAUACGAAGGGUGCAAGCGUUAAUCGGAAUUACUGGGCGUAAAGCGCGCAUAGGUGGUUCAGCAAGUUGGAGGUGAAAUCCCCGGGCUCAACCUGGGAACUGCCUCCAAAACUACUUAGCUAGAGUACUGUAGAGGGUAGUGGAAUUUCCUGUGUAGCGGUGAAAUGCGUAGAUAUAGGAAGGAACACCAGUGGCGAAGGCGACUACCUGGACUGAUACUGACACUGAGGUGCGAAAGCGUGGGGAGCAAACAGGAUUAGAAACCCUUGUAGUCC